UACGUAGGCAGCAAGCGUUGUUCGGAGUUACUGGGCGUAAAGAGUGCGUAGGUGGUGCCCUAAGUCUGUUGUGAAAUCUCCCGGCUUAACUGGGAGGGUGCGGUGGAAACUGGGGUGCUUGAGUGUGGGAGAGGUAAGCGGAAUUCCUGGUGUAGCGGUGAAAUGCGUAGAUAUCAGGAGGAACACCGGUGGUGUAGACGGCUUACUGGACCACAACUGACACUGAGGCACGAAAGCGUGGGUAGCAAACAGG
rnacentral:rRNA from 1 species